UACGGAGGGGGCGAGCGUUAUUCGGAAUUAUUGGGCGUAAAGGGCGCGUAGGCGGCUGGGCAAGUCAAAGGUGAAAUCCCUCGGCUCAACUGAGGAACUGCCUUUGAAACUGCUUGGCUUGAGUCCGGGAGAGGUGAGUGGAAUUCCCAGUGUAGCGGUGAAAUGCGUAGAUAUUGGGAGGAACACUAGUGGCGAAGGCGGCUCACUGGACCGGAACUGACGCUGAGGCGCGAAAGCGUGGGGAGCAAACGGG
rnacentral:rRNA from 1 species